rnacentral:rRNA from 1 species
AGCAGCCGCGGUAAUUCCAGCUCCAAUAGCGUAUAUUAAAGUUGUUGCAGUUAAAAAGCUCGUAGUUGAAUUUCGGGGUUAGUAGGUUGGUCAUGCCUCUGGUAUGUACUGGUCUCACUGAUUCCUCCUUCCUGAUGAGCCGUAAUGCCAUUAAUUUGGUGUUGCGGGGAAUUUGGACUGUUACUUUGAAAAAAUUAGGGUGUUUAAAGCAAGCUAACGCUUGAAUACAUUAGCAUGGAAUAAUGAAAUAGGACGUUCGAUCCUAUUUUGUUGGUUUCUAGGAUUGACGUAAUGAUUAAUAGGGAUAGUUGGGGGCAUUAGUAUUCAAUUGUCAGAGGUGAAAUUCUUGGAUUUAUUGAAGACUAACUACUGCGAAAGCAUUUGCCAAGGAUGUUUUCAUUAAUCAAGAACGAAAGUUAGGGGAUCGAAGACGAUCAGAUACCGUCGUAGUCUUAACCAUAAACUAUGCCGACUAGGGAUCGGAUGAUGUUAAUUUUUUAAUGACUC